GAUGAACGCUAGCUACAGGCUUAACACAUGCAAGUCGAGGGGAAACGAUAGAGAAAGCUUGCUUUUUCUAGGCGUCGACCGGCGCACGGGUGAGUAACGCGUAUCCAACCUGCCCAUCACUUGGGGAUAACCUUGCGAAAGUAAGACUAAUACCCAAUGACGUCUCUAGAAGACAUCUGAAGGAGAUUAAAGAUUUAUCGGUGAUGGAUGGGGAUGCGUCUGAUUAGCUUGUUGGCGGGGUAACGGCCCACCAAGGCGACGAUCAGUAGGGGUUCUGAGAGGAAGGCCCCCCACAUUGGAACUGAGACACGGUCCAAACUCCUACGGGAGGCAGCAGUGAGGAAUAUUGGUCAAUGGACGAGAGUCUGAACCAGCCAAGUAGCGUGCAGGAUGACGGCCCUAUGGGUUGUAAACUGCUUUUAUAAGGGAAUAAAGUGAGUCUCGUGAGACUUUUUGCAUGUACCUUAUGAAUAAGGACCGGCUAAUUCCGU
rnacentral:rRNA from 1 species